GGGUCGAUGCCCGAGCGGUUAAUGGGGACGGACUGUAAA
rnacentral:tRNA from 3 species